rnacentral:misc_RNA from 1 species
UUGUGGAGGAGGACGCCGAAGGUGGGGCUAAUGACUGGGGUGAAGUCGUAACAAGGUAGCCGUACCGGAAGGUGCGGCUGGAUCACCUCCUAACAGGGAGACAACAAAAUGUUUAAUAUUAAUUUUGUCACCUUAGGUCGAUCGGUACCUCAGAUUCUUAAACUACUUUAAGAAUUUCAUUUCCUAAGUUUUUUCUAGGUCACACCCAUUACUUUUUCCUGGGCCAUUAGCUCAGGUGGUUAGAGCGCACCCCUGAUAAGGGUGAGGCCCCUGGUUCAAGUCCAGGAUGGCCCAUAUCUCCAUGUUGGGGGUAUAGCUCAGUUGGUAGAGCGCCUGCUUUGCAAGCAGGAUGUCAGCGGUUCGAGUCCGCUUACCUCCACUGAAUACCACCUCUUACAUUUUUUAACUAGGGAAAUCUUUUUGGGUCGUGCUCUUUUUACUCUGAGCGAAUCUAGCUUCCUAUUUUUUAUUUAAAAUAAGAUGCUGGACUCAUUGAAAUUAUCUUCAUUGUUUUCAGAGAACCUUGACAACUGCAUAGAUUAUUUUUGAAGACAAUAAGCAUCUUUAAUGAUGCAGAUUUAUUAUUUAUGCUAACGCAUUAAAUAACAAUUCUAUUAAGCUGAUGCUUCAAUUUUUGAAGUUAUUGGUCAAGCUACAA